AUUGAACGCUGGCGGCAGGCCUAACACAUGCAAGUCGAGCGGCAGCGGAAAGUAGCUUGCUACUUUGCCGGCGAGCGGCGGACGGGUGAGUAAUGUCUGGGAAACUGCCUGAUGGAGGGGGAUAACUACUGGAAACGGUAGCUAAUACCGCAUGACCUCGAAAGAGCAAAGUGGGGGAUCUUCGGACCUCACGCCAUCGGAUGUGCCCAGAUGGGAUUAGCUAGUAGGUGAGGUAAUGGCUCACCUAGGCGACGAUCCCUAGCUGGUCUGAGAGGAUGACCAGCCACACUGGAACUGAGACACGGUCCAGACUCCUACGGGAGGCAGCAGUGGGGAAUAUUGCACAAUGGGCGCAAGCCUGAUGCAGCCAUGCCGCGUGUGUGAAGAAGGCCUUAGAGUUGUAAAGCACUUUCAGCGAGGAGGAAGGCAUCAUACUUAAUACGUGUGGUGAUUGACGUUACUCGCAGAAGAAGCACCGGCUAACUCCGUGCCAGCAGCCGCGGUAAUACGGAGGGUGCAAGCGUUAAUCGGAAUUACUGGGCGUAAAGCGCACGCAGGCGGUUUGUUAAGUCAGAUGUGAAAUCCCCGCGCUUAACGUGGGAACUGCAUUUGAAACUGGCAAGCUAGAGUCUUGUAGAGGGGGGUAGAAUUCCAGGUGUAGCGGUGAAAUGCGUAGAGAUCUGGAGGAAUACCGGUGGCGAAGGCGGCCCCCUGGACAAAGACUGACGCUCAGGUGCGAAAGCGUGGGGAGCAAACAGG
rnacentral:rRNA from 1 species